GCUAACAGGAGUUAGCUCAGUUGGUAGAGCAUGAGGCUGUUAAUCUCAGGGCCGUGGGUUUGAGCCCCACACUGGGCA